CUAGCUUGCUAGGUGGAUUAGUGGCGCACGGGUGAGUAAUAUAUAGAUAACGUGCCUCUUAGUCUGGGAUAGCCAUUGGAAACGAUGAUUAAUACUAGAUACUCCUUCUAACUCUAAUGUUAGUCGGGAAAGUUUUUCGCUAAGAGAUCGGUCUAUAUCCCAUCAGCUAGUUGGUAGUGUAAGAGACUACCAAGGCAAUGACGGGUAGCGGGUUUGAGAGGAUGAUCCGCCACACUGGUACUGAGACACGGACCAGACUCCUACGGGAGGCAGCAGUGAGGAAUAUUGCACAAUGGAGGAAACUCUGAUGCAGCAACGCCGCGUGGAGGAUGACGCAUUUCGGUGUGUAAACUCCUUUUAUAUGUCAAGAAAAUGACGGUAGCAUAUGAAUAAGCACCGGCUAACUCCGUGCCAGCAGCCGCGGUAAUACGGAGGGUGCAAGCGUUAUUCGGAAUCACUGGGCGUAAAGGACGCGUAGGCGGGAUGCCAAGUCUGAUGUGAAAUCCUAUGGCU
rnacentral:rRNA from 1 species